rnacentral:misc_RNA from 1 species
GAAAUGCGAUAAGUAAUGUGCAUUGCAGAAUUCAGUGAAUCAUCGAAUCUUUGAACGCACCUUGCGCUCCUUGGUAUUCCUUGGAGCAUGCCUGUUUGAGUAUCAUGAAAUCUUCCAAGUAAAUCUUUUGUUAACUCAAUUGGUUUCUACUUUGGUAUUGGAGGUCUUUGCAGCUUCACACCUGCUCCUCUUUGUUCAUUAGCUGGAUCUCAGUGUUAUGCUUGGUUCCACUCGGCGUGAUAAGUUAUCUAUCGCUGAGGACACUGUAAAAGGUGGCCAAGGUAAAUGCAGAUGAACCGCUUCUAAUAGUCCAUUGACUUGGACAAUACUUUUAUGAUCUGAUCUCAAAUCAGGUAGGACUACCCGCUGAACUUAAGC